rnacentral:tRNA from 1 species
UCCCUGGUAGCUCAGUGGUAAAGAAUCUGCCUGCAAUGCAGGAGACACGGGUUCGAUCCCUGAUCGGGAAA